UUGCAUCUGCAAGCAAUGUUAAAGAGGUGGCUUCACAGAAGUCAGAGCUUGACUGUUACUUAGAAGAGACAUUGCUUCCCUCGGAUGCAGACAUACUUGGUUGGUGGCGUGUUAAUUCUCAAAGGUUCCCUACACUUGCAAAGAUGGCUCGUGAUUUCCUCGCAAUCCCAGUAUCAGUUUCCUCACCAUGUUCGAAUAUUAGUGCUAUGACCAUAAAUCCAGCCUACAGUAGCUUAGACCCUGAGAGCAUGGAAGCUCUGGUAUGCAGUCAAAAUUGGUUGGAAUCUACAAAAGAAAGUAAGUCUAACUUUGACUUUGUUUAGCUAGAGUUUAUCAUUCUAUUUUCCUAAACUUCAAUAGAGGGUCUACUUUUUAGAGUUACAUCAAGUUUUCACUUAUAUGAAUUCAUUUUCUAUCACAGAUGAUGGAGAACAUCAUGAACCCAUGCAAAAUAUGGUAUUAAUAUCCAUUGAAUUCUUUGUCCUACAACAUGUCUAAGAAUUUCAAAAGAUUGAAUUACAUUAAUGCAUUUUCAUUUCACAGGAUAAAAGGAAAAGAAAGAUGGAAGAGAAUGACACUUCUACUGUAAAACUUCUCAAAAACCGGACUCAUGAAAAAGCUAGUAGUAAUGGAGACAUUGCUAGUGAUUUCAACAAAAAUGGUAUUUGAACCAUACUUGCCAUUAUUAUCUGUUUUGCUACUUAAACUUGGUAUCAAUUGAACUGUUGAAAUGCCAGAUGGUAGUCUAUCUUUUGACAAUUGGAUGGAGCCACAAUGUUCUUCUUCAGAGUCUGUUGGUGAAAAAGCAGAGAUCAUGGAAGCUUCGGUUUGCAAUAGAGAUAGGCUGGAAUCGUCAAUAGGAAGUAAGUUCUUAUGGAGAAACUAGUAGUGGAGACAAAUCCAAAACUGCUUAAACAAUGGUUUCCUUUAACAUUUGGCAAUGGCUUACUCCAUUGAUAAGCAAAAUUUCUUGAUACAGAAACUAAUCAUGGAAGAAACAUUGCUGCCGCCAUUGAAAUUCCAAAUGAUGAACCAUCAUUCAACGGUAAUCAAUCGGAUCAAUUUCAAAGCUCAUCUUCCGAGUCUGAUGAUGAGACAUCAUUGAGGGAGCAAGGGUCAUGGUGUAGAGAGGUUCAUAAUUUAUUUCAAUUUUUUUUAUAUACAUUCCUUUACUUUUUAUGCAUAUAUUAGUGUUCUCACAUUAUGAAUUCUAAUUUCUUCUUCUUAAAAGGAUGUUCGGACAUAUUUAGUCUCAAACUUUACAAACAAGGAGGUAAAACGAUUAAAUAGAUGGAAAAGGAGUGAGUUGAGCGGGUGUGUUGCUAGUUUUAAUUAGUUAAUAUUGGAAUAAGAAGUGAUCAUUAUAAUCUACCUAUAUAUAUUAGAGUUUAUGUUUCACAAAAAAUCUAACUAUAAAUUAAAAUUUACUUUUCACAGAAAGAAAAUUGGACGAGACAAGGACUUUCAAUUAAUGGGCGAGAACCUAACACCUUUACUCAUGGUGCCUCAUUGUGAUGAAACACUAAUAGAGUACUAUAUCGAUGAUUCGGUAAUUACUUAUUACGUGAUUGAGCCAUAAAUUAAUUUUUUAAUUCGUAUAUUGUUAUCAUUUUUAUAAUUAUAGUUAGCGUUAUGUUUUACUCAUGUUCAAAGUUUAUAGUUCUACAAUUUAAUAUUUUGAUUGAAGAUAUACUAAUGAUAAUAAUUAUUAAUAUUACAUGCAUGUUGUUAAUACUUAUUUUAAAUUGCUUAAGAAGAGAUCCGACAAAUUUCCAAAUGGAUACAUCAAACAUUAUUCGUUUGAUUCUCUAAUAGCUGUAAGAAUUUUUAUCCUGCCAAAAAAUGUUGGUAUUUUUAUAUGAAAUUAUAUAAAGAGAGUACCAUUUAACUUGUAUAUUUUGCAAUUACCAGACUUGCUUAAUAGAAGGAUCCAAAUCAGAAGAUGAAGUAUUAGCUUGGUUUAAAGAUGAAAAGUUAAGAGGGGUCCAUAAAGUAAGCUCAAAAUUGUGAUGUAAUUUGGAUUUAAAUAGUUGAUCAUAUCUAAUUGUAAUUCUUUUUCUUGUAGUUGUUUCUACCAAUGUGUUUAUCAGCACAUUGGGUUCUUUUCUGUGUAGAUACCAAAGAGAAGAAGAUUUCGAGGUUAGAUCCGAUACCAUCUUCUCGGAUAAUGUCUAAUAGUGUCGAAAAACAAAAAAUAUUCCAGUGGUUCACACUCUAUCUACUGCCACAAUUUGGUUAUAAUGAUGCAGAGAAAUGGGCAUUUGAAGUGCGUACUGAUAUUCCAAAGCAAGAAAAGUAUGAUUUCAUCUUUCAAAGCUUGCAAGUUUUCUACAUUUUAUUUACUUAUUAUCUUACAAUUUUUUUUCAUUUCUUUUACUACAACUAAAGCUCUAUUGAUUGUGGAGUAUUCGUGAUGAAAUAUGGUGAUUGCCUAAUGCAUGGUGAUUUCUUCCCUUUUACACAAAAAGAUAUGAUUCAUUUCCGACGUCGUAUCUUUCUCAAUAUAUACCGUGGAAGGUUACAUGGUAAAAGAUAGACAAAUUUGCCACUUGUUUUGGAGCUGAAAUUCAAUGGAUGUGUUUUUUCUGUAAUGUCUUUUCAUUGUUAAAUCUGACCCUUUUAUGCACAUAUAGUAUUUUCGUCCUUAGAUUUAUACUUAUUUUCCAUCGCAAUUGAAAUAAUGUUGAGCUUUUUGGACUUUAAUUUAGCUCAAGCUUAAACAAUUGACUUCAUUUUGGCUGUUAAGUUUUUCUCUUUCUCCUUCCAUUAUUCAUGUUUCGGAGGCUAAAUUUGUUAUUAAACCAAUAAAAACACGCCCAUGUUAGUUCUCUCGUUAAAUAUUUAAUUGUGGGUCACUAAAAUUUUAAAUUUUAAAAUAUUGGUAUGAAAUUAAAAGUUUUUGAAGUUAGUUAAUUAAAAUAAAGCCCACCUUUUAGUCAUUAUUUACGUUAAAAGAAAGCAACUUGACUCUUUUUAAAAGGUUAAUAAUCAAAAUUAGUUUUUAAAAAAUAAAAGUCAAAUUGACAAAAGAUAUAAAAUUUAAAAGCUAAAUUUAUCAUUAUGCCAUUUGAAAAUUUGAAAAACACUAAAUUAAGAUACAGGACUAAAUCCAUAACUCCAUAACUUUCAUAAACUACAGAGAUCAAUAGCAGAAUUUAACUGUAAGAAAGCUUAUCAAUAACGCGUAUAAAGGUAAAAGUUUUCAAGUCGUAUUAGUGGAUUGCAUUUCUACUCUUAAAAACUGGCAUGGAUAACAAAAUAACCUAACAAUAACACGUGAUGUGUCACGUGUACCUCAUGCUAACAUACAAUGGCAAGCUUUUAACAGUAAAAAUGAAUGAAAUUUUUAAUAGAAUGAUUAAUUUAUUCUUUGAUCUAACGUAUAGGGACUAAUUUGUCUAUUUUCUAAAUAAAGAGGACAAAAUACAAUCUAAUUCAUGAUACAAGAGCUCCACGAUACUUUUACCUCUCACAUGCUUAUAACUAAGAUUCAUUUAAGAUAAAGGAUUCCACUCAACAUCUUCAUGUCGAAAACAAGUUGCAGUCCCUUGCUUUAUGUGCCGGCUGCCUUGUUCCUCGUUAUAACCUUAAAGAUAUUCUUCUUGCUUUGUACAGAAGAGUGCAUUCAUCCAUUAUGACCCCAAAGAACACUGAAUUACUUCAAACAUCAAUUUAUACACUGCUUUUCACUUUUGAAGAAUAUUGAGGUAAGAUUAUAUCUACCUACUACUAACAUUCCUUUAUUAGGAAGAAGAAAAAUUCAUUGUUCUAUUUGCAGCUUUAUCACUCUUCAUUCACCAUUGCAGAAUAUAAGCUCUGAUAUACUCGGCUUCACAAGUGAUGAAUCAACUAAAAGGAAUCUCAAAUCACUUAUCAAGUCUCUUUGCAGGAUGUUGUGAAGACAAAUGAAAAAAGCAUACGAAAUUCGACCCACCGUUCUAUAUAGCUAACUGGAUUGUCUACGCCAUUAUUAUAGCAAUAGAAAUUAUACUUGAUACUUUUUUUAGGUACCUAACUAAUAUUAUUAAAAUACGUUGACAUAAUGCUAACAACCAAUAGCAUAAUAACACGUGGCAACCUCACAUUUUGACAUAUAAUUAAAAAAUAUUUAGACAUCAAGUAGAUAUAAAUCAUAAAAUUCAGGUACCUCCAUAUAUAAUAAUAAUAAUAACAAUAACAAUAGAAGUGUGAAAGAUACAUGGUAAGCAGUUUGUGUUUAGCUAUGCUCAAUUUGUUCUAAUUUUUACGACAUGCAUGCCUUUAGCAUCCUCAAUACGUAUGUUCAAUUAUUCGGAUUAUAUCUCAAUUAUUUAGAGUUUAAAUAGAAAAGAUGAAAAACUGGAAUUUCACUGACAUUUAUUUUCCAUUUUGUAUUUUGUUUUGCAGCCGACAUUUGUAGUUAUUAUAUGUGUCGAUGGUUUAGAACACCAUAGUCCUACAAAUACUAUGAGACCCUACACGCCACAAGUAGUUGGAUGUAAGUGUCUCCAUCCUACCAUUUAUAAAAUCUGAUGACUCUUUAUUUUCUUCUUUUAUUAUUAUUAUUAUUAAAUUGUAAAAGUAUAAGAUAAUAAUAAUAAUAAUAAUAAUUUCGAUGAAUAUUUAUUGGGUCAAGCAGAGAAAAAAUUUGAUUUUUUUAAAUAAGGUCUCGAGUUUAAAUCUUAUAGAUAAAAACAAUAAUGUUAGAAGAAUUUUUUUUCCUCCGACGUAACUUGAGUUUGAAUAUAAUUAGAGCUCAAUAUAAAUAUUAAAGUAAAAAAAAUAAUAAUAAAGAAGUAUAUUUCAUGCUAGUUUGAUCCUGUAAUUAAGUUGGAUUGGGUCAAAUUUCAAUUUUUUAUUUUAUUUUUUUAGGUCUAACUAAACUAAAUUGAUUGGUUGAACCAAUUCAAUUGAAAAUUAGUAGAUUAAACAGCUCAAUUUGAAUUGGAAAAAAGUCAAAUUACAUAUAAUUUUAUAAAAUAAUAAGCGUGACAUUUUUUCCUCUUCAAUAUUAAUAUGAUAAAAAAACGCAAAAUAAAAUAAUUUUAUUUAAAUUUAAUUAUUAAAAAUAUUUUUUUAAAGAAGGAAUAAAAAGUUAAUAAAUUAAUAAGGGACGCAUUGAGAAGUGUACAUAAAGAUGUACAGCAUGGAUGCACAUCGUGAGGUACUGAAACUGAAGUUUGACGGCAACAUCUGAGCUAAAAAGAUGCAUUACACUGACUUACUGCCAUUGAUCCAUUCAUUCGUUUACUUCAACGCUUCAAAUCGUAAAACGCCUAUGUUACAUUUCACGUUAGUGUAAAAAUAAUGCUUCUAAAUCAUAGUUUUAGAAUCAGAUCGGUAGUUGAAUAGGUUAAAUUGUCAGUCCAUUUGAUAUGUUUGUAUUUUCAGUUCAUUAUCAUUUUUUAAAUUGAUAUUUUGGCCAGUUUCUAGUUCAACUGCCUGGUUCAGUCCGAUCUGAUUGAAAUAUCAUUGGGUGUAAAUGAAACACUAGUACUCAUAAGUUAAUUUGGAAAAAAAAAUUCAAACUAGAUUCAAUAAUUAUUAAGCCAAAUUCAAGCUUAAUCUACUUUACUCAAACGGCUUGCAAACCUUACCGAGCUUUUCCCUUUUUUUAUAUUGUUAAAUUAUAUUAUUGCCCUUAAUAUAUAUUAUUAAGCCUAAGCUUAUUUAUCAAGCUAGAAUUCGAGUUUAAAUACAAAAAAUUGAUAAAUAAGCUUAACUGAGCUUCAGCAUGCGCAGCUCAGUUAUAUCUUGAGCCAAGCUCAAGCUUAAAAAUAAAUGUUUGAUCAAGCUCAAGUAAAAUACCGAGCUCCAAAUUUUGAGUCAAACUUGAAUUUGACAUUAUUUGGGCUUAGCUCGGCUUGACUACACCCCUAAUAGAAAGUAUAUAUAUACAAUUUUAGAUUAUUGCAAAUCAAUUUAAGACAUUGUUGAAUGGUAUACAUAAGGUAGUCUAUAUCGUACUAGUAAAGCUAUUAUUUUUGUUACGCUACUGAUGCAUACCAAUAUCAGUGUGUUUUGGUGUACCAUUUUAAGUUUAUUAAUAUUUUUAAAAUAUUUUUCAUAUAUAAGUGGAUUAAAGCCUUGCCUGCUCCUAGCUAUGUUCCUAGAUUCCGAGAACUUUGAGAUUUCAAGUUCGGUUCCCACCUUAGGUAAAGUAUUCAUAGAUUCUCAAUUAUAUUUAUUUUAGUUUAAAUCUUAUCAUGCGCGCUUUAUAUAAAUAUAUUCCGUUUAAUUUAGUUUAAAUCUCGCAAUGUAAACUAUGUACGGAUAUAUUCCAAAUAUUAACUUCAUCGUACUUUACAAUUCGACCUGACACAUCAUUAAUAUUUAGAAUUGUAAUUUGACUUUUAAUCAUACUUAUAAUUUCUUAAAAAUAAAAAAUAUUAGGUUAAAAAAUCUAAAGUCAACUAAUAUAAUAUUUAUAAUUAUAAACUUGAGUAAAGUUCAAUUAUUGACAACUUAAUCCAUUCUUUUAUUGAAUUGGUUGAAACUAAUAUUAUAUAUAAUAAAUAAAAUAUUCUAACAAAAUCCUUUUAUAAAUAAUUUAAAUUAAAAAAAUAGGGUAAAAAUCUUUUGAGUAUGAAAUGCUUUAAUACUUUAAUUAAUUAUUAAAUAAUAUGUUAGCAAACAUUAUUGAAUCUUUUGGUUGAAGAUUGCUUAUUAAAUGAUGAUUGGUGUGGAUAAACAAUGACCAAAUAUUUGUUGCUUUAUCUUUAUUAACUUUAAGGCAAUAAAUACUAAUUACUACUCUUUAGUAUAUUUAUUAUUUGGGUUUUUUAAGGAAAAAUAAUUAAAUGCUUUGUUCUUUUUGUUUUAUUAUUAUUGACCCGUUACUCAAUUACUCUAUUCGGUCUUGAUUCGUAUUUUACAGGGUUUGCACAAUGUAGGUUUGCAUCACUAUGUACGUUUUAAUAUGUAUAGAAACCUACCUAUAAUAUCAUAUCUUAUAAAUAUAUAGUUUAACCCAUUUGAAGAGGACAAACUCUAAAAUGCUCAACAAUUUCAUAAAUUUGAAAGAAUUUUUUCAAUAAAAUAUUAAUUAGUUAAAUAAUCAAUAAUCCUUGUGUCGGCCAUAAGGCUAAGAAGAUUUUUAGUGCUCUUUUUGAGUGAAAUCUAAUUGGUGAAUAUAUGAAAUAAAAUGAUGUUCAAUCUCAAUCAUUGUCUAACUUUUAAAAUAUAUUUUUUUACAUUAAUUAAUAUGACAUUUAAAAAAUAAAAUUAAUGGAUUAUUUCAAAAAUCGACGAAAUUAGCGUAUUGAAUGUAAAAUAAAUACAUAAAUUAGUAACUAAUUUGAUAAAUUUUGAGAUUUAUUAAAAAUAAGAAAUUAUUAUUUUAUUAAAACACGGUUAAUAUUUUCUUAAAUACCAUCUUAAUUUUCUAAUAAUUUAAAUUAAACAUUAAUUAAUAUUUUUUUUUCUCAAAUUUUCCUUUUUUAAUUGAAAUAUUCUUACAAAAAAUGGAUUAAAAUAAAACAAUUAAAACCCAUUAAUUAUUAAUAGAAAGUACUUGGGAUUCUCUUUCAUUAUCUAAAUUAAAAUGCUUAGGUAAACAACCCUUUUUUUUAAUAAAAUAUAAAUAAAUUAAUACCAUUAUUAAAGCUAACGAAUCCGAUGUUUUUUUUUAAUACAAAAUAUUCCCCAAAAAAGUAGGUGUUUUUCAUUAUUUAUACUUAAUUAUAUCAAAACAUGAAUCAAGAAUUUGGUCAAAUUAUCGAUUGUUAAUUCAACAGAUUAAAUUGUUGAUUCAAUAAUAAUUUAAUAAGAAUAAGAAUAUCAAUUAGAAUGGGUAAAAGUAUUAUUGAUGCCCUUAUAUUAAGAAUCGGGUUACAUUUUUUUCUCUCUACUUAAAAUAUGGGUAAAUCGAUCUUUAUAUAUUUGAUCAAAAAGUAAAUUAGUCCUUCUAUUAAAAAUCUCAUCCAUUUCUAUUAUUGAAAACGAGUCCCUAUAUGCCAGCAUAAGGUAUAUAUGACACGUCAUGUGUCACCGUCAAAAUGGAUGAAAUUUUUAAUAAAAAUGACCAAAUUGCUCUUUGAUCUAACAUGCAUGGACUAAUUUGUCCGUUUUUAGUAGAUGGGGCAAAAUACAAUUUGACUCCUAGUAUCGGGGCCAUGAUACUUUUACCAUCAAAAUGGUUAAGAUCAAAUUAGAAGUUGGUUUAAAUUUUAAAAUAUCAUAAUUUUGCACCAACUAAUACGAACUAAUACGCAUUGAUACAAGUCGGUAUUGAUCGAAAUAGGCUAAAAUGCAUUGAAAUUUUAAUUGAACAAUACUAGACUAUUGGUGAUGGUUUAGGACUAGAACGAUGCAAUUGACUAUCAAGCUCGUAUCAAUAUCAUAUCAAUUAAGAAUACAUGUCAACUUUUAAUUCCAUUUUUAAUUUUUUUUUUUUAAAAAAACCACUACUAAGAUAACAAAGAACUAUUUUUAUAUUAUUAAUGUAUAAAAAUUAUAUUUAUUAUAUAAUUUAUGCAUAUAAUAUUGAUGUACUAUUUGGGUAAAAUACCAAAAAAAACCACUUUUUUUUAAAUUUACCGAAAUAGGCCCGGUAUUUUAUUAUUUACCGAAAUGGGCCCUUUUCCCCUAAAUCGCGUCCACGUCAGCGCGAAAUCAGGGGACGUGUCAGCAAAGCGCACUGACAUGGACGCGAUUUGUUGACACGUCCCCUAACUUCGCACUGACGUGGACGCGAUUUAGGGGAAAAAUGGCCCAUUCAAUAAAUAAUAAAAUAUCGGGCCCAUUUCGGUAGAUUUAAAAAAAGUGGCUUUUUUGGUAUUUUGCCCUUUCAUUUGUUCGACGGAGUGCUGCUUAUCAAGACGAGUCAAUUCUCCGGGCAUUGCUGAAAUCAUACAAAUUUUUACGAUUUAAAAAAAUUUUAAAAAAUAAUUUUUUUAAAAUUAUUUAAAAAUAGGGAUUUAAGAUAAAUUUAAGAGGAAAUUGAGAGCAAAUGUGGAUUUGAGAGAAAUUUGGAAGGAAUUUGAGAGCAAAUUGAGAGGAAAUUUGAGAGAGGAUUAGUUUGUGAAAAAAAUAAAGGGUGGGGGUAUUUAUAGAUUUUUUUUGACCCGUUGGGGGGGCAACAGUCAAAAAAAUGACCGUUGCACUGUUCACGCGCAGGGAAAUCGUGUCCCCAGGGGCGCGCUACGUGACAGCAAAUCGUGUCCAUGUCAGCACGCUUUGCUGACGUGGACACAAAUAGCGCUUACGUGGAUGCUAUUUGUGUCCACGUCAGUAAAGUGCACUGACGUGGACGCGAUUUGCUGACAUGUCUCCUGACUUCGCGCUGACGUGGAAGCAAUUUAGGAGAAAAUGGCCCAUUCCGGUAAAUAAUAAAAUACCGGGCUCAUUCUAAUAAAUUUAAAAAAUAUAACUUUUUUUGGUAUUUUGCCCGUACUAUUUUCUUGUUUUUACUUGACAAUGUCAAAAGGGAAAAAAUGUUAUUUUCUUAAUUAUUGACUUGUGAAUGUUAAAAAAAAAAAAAGUCUAUGAAAGAUGCUUCUGCAGCUAACUUUUUAUUUUUUUAUUUUAAGUUGACUUGAGAAUAUAUUUCAUGUCACUUUAUUCUUCAACAAUUUAUCUUGUUUAUUAAUUAUUGCUUUUCCACCAAUACUGCGUAAAUUUGGCUGCUCUCUAUUGCUUAAAGCUUUGGUCAUCAUCAAAUAGUAAAUAUUAAAUUUUUUAUUUUAAUUUAUUACAAUUAAAUUUAAAUAAUAAUCUAAAUACAAUUAACCAAAAUUUAAAACUAAAAUAAAAAACACACAUAUUACUGUCAUAGUUGUUUAAAAUUAAUAAGAUAAUAAGUAUAUAUUUUAUAUAAAUAUCUUUAUUAUUUAAAUUAAAUCAAUCAAAAUGUAUAAUUUUUUAUUCAAAUUUAGUUCAAAUCAAGUCGAACCUACCAAGUUAGAUGAGCUGUUGAACUCAUGAGCAUGUUCAUAUAUAUGUAUAUGUAUAUGUAUAUGUAUAUUUAAGGAAAUUAUUAGUAUAAUCAUAAUUAUAAUUAUAAAUAAUAUAUUUGAAUAAUUAUAAUUAGAAUCAAUCAUUACAAAAGUAAGAUACAACAAAUAACCAAACCAAUAUCAAAAUAAAUUUGAAUGGGAUUCAUACAAGAUAAGACUUAAACCAUAAUAAAUUUAAAGAAAAUGCGCGCAUAGUUUACAUUGAAUUGGUGGUCAAACUGAUCAGGCAUUGGUUCGUCAGUCUAAUUGAUUCGUCUAGUCUAACCACUUCGUCUGAUUCAAUUAAGUAAAUCAUUAAAAAAUUAUAAAAAUAAUUAAAUACAAAUCUAGUUUAACCGAUUUAUACUAAUUCUCAAAUUAACUAAUUUGAUACCCCUUUCCAGACUGAUACUUCAACCGAUUUCUAAUUCAACUAACUGGUCCAUCUAAUUCAAGCAACCAUACAUAAAACUAGAAUCUAAGCUUUCAAAAAUCUCAAAACCUCAACCCUACUAUAAAUCCAAAAACAUGUUUAAAUGGGGCAAUGCAAUCGAUAAAAUUCAUUUCCAAACAAUUGUUUUUAUAUCAUGGGUAAUUAUUUGAUACACCGAUUAUAGAGUUUUUUUAUUUUUAUAAGCGGAUUCAAGAUAUGACAAGUAUUGCAUUUAUUUAUAUGUUUAUUCUUUUACUAUACCGUACAAUGCACUUAUUAUACCAUUAAUUCACUUGUGAAAUUUAAUGAACUCGGGUAGGAGAUAAUUUUCCGUGCAAUAAUUUUUUGUCCUCUCUAGUUUGGUGAAUGCUCCAAUCUUUUUUCGAUCUUUACCCGCUGCUUUGGAUCAUCAGUGAUUGAUUUCCUUAUCGUAUUAAGUGCUUGCGAUCACUCUAUAUAUGUCAUGCUUGAAUUGUGAUAAAGCCAAUUGUCAAUAGGUCAGGUCAUGAUACUGAGGCUAAAAUCUUUGUUGUGUUGUUUGAACUUGUCCUUCACUAUCUACGAUGAGUAUUUAUUAUUAUUUUUCUAAAUUAUAUGAUUUUCUUCAUUAAUUAAUAAAUUUACCUUUAAAUAUAUAUUUCUAUAAAAAUUAGAUAAUAACAUCACACCAUUUUAGAAUACAAAAUCAGGGAUCAAAUUUGUGAAAUUCUAGUAUUAAUGUAGACAAAAAAAUCAGAGACUAGGUUGAGAUAUUAUUUAAUUUGCAGGCAGGUAAUUUGUGGGAGUCAAAGAAUAGCUUUAAAGAAGAAUAGCCACUAAUUUUGUUAAUAAAAAAAUUAUAUUUCAUCAAGGAUGGAACUAUUAUCUAUUAUUACUAAUAAUAAUAGCUUUAAAGAAGAAUAGCCACUAAUUUGUGAAAUUCUAGUAUUAAUGUAGACAAAAAACAAAAAGAGGGGGUAGGUUGAGAUAUUAUUUAAUUUGCAGGCAGGUAAUUUGUAGGAAGCAAAAACAAAAGUCAAAAUAGAAACAGUGAGUAUUCCGCGUUAGUGAUCAAUGACGCGCUUUUCCUACUGCUUUUGCUUUUCCUGAGUGAUCAUCUUGCUGCUUUCACUUUCUUUUCUACCAUAUUUCUCUUCUGCUUUACCCAAACUCUGUUCAAUCUCACCUUCUUUCAUGCCUUCUUCUUUUUCUGACACCGCCUUGAGAUUGUUACUAUCCUGCGCUGAAGCUAUUGAAGUUGGGGAUCUGAAAAGCGCCGAUGCGUUCCUUCACGAUAUCUUGAUUCUUGCUGAUCAGGGAACCUCCUGGUUUCCAAAUGAAAUAGGAGUGGUGAAAUACUUUGCCGACGCUCUGGUUCGCCGAGCCUACGGACUGCAUCCCGCUUCUUGCUACUUUACUUUCCCGGUGGAUCCUGCACCAUAUUAUCAUUAUAACAGCUACCAUAUUAAUGGCGUCAUAGAAAAAGUUAUCGAUGAUGCUUUCAUGGGAAACAGGCGAUUGCACCUCAUUGAUUUCUCCAUCCCGUAUUACUACAGGUUUGAGAAUUCAGUUCUUCGUACACUACCGAACUUCUUCGGCUAUCCUCUACCCGUCCGUGUAAGUUACAUACUUCCACCAUUUCUGAAAGAAUAUGUAGAGUUCUCACGCCAAAUGGAGUUUUUGACUAAGGAUGCCAAGGAAGUUAAUGUAAAGUUGGAGGAUGAGUUGAAAGUGGUUUAUGGCAAUAGUUUGGCAGAAGUGGAUGAAUGUGAAAUAGAUUUCAAAAGAAGAAGAGAUGAUGAAAUGGUGGUGAUUUACUAUAAAUUUAAACUUGAUAAGUUGGUAAGAGAUGCAAAAGCAAUGGAGAGAGAGUUAGUAAGAUUGAAGGAGAUAAAUCCGACGACUGUAAUCAUGCUGGACUUUUAUUCUAAUCAUAGCGACUCCAAUUUCUUGACAUGUUUCAAGGAUUCAUUUCAGUAUUCCUUGAAGACUCUUGAUUACUGGGCGGAGUUGGACCAUUAUCUUGAUGGGAAGUAUGAGUGGGAGUGCAACAUAGAGGCAGGGGAAGGUAAUAAUAUAAUUAGGCGACACCCAGCUUUGACAGAAUGGCAACAUCUAUUUUUAAUGGCUGGCUUUAGUCGAAUUCCAUUAAACCACAGGAAAGAUAAUCUUAGCGUUGAGGAUGAAAGCUUCUUAGAAAUAAUGGGGAAGGAAGAAGAGUGCUUGAUUUUAGGUAACAAGGGAUGUCCAAUGUUUUUCUUAUCGGCAUGGAAACCCAAAGUUGAAGAUGGACACUUCAAUUCCAAUUCCACCAACCAUAAGUUUGGACAAGGUAUUUUUUUUUCUUAAAUUAUAUAAUAAUUUUACAAUUGAAUUAUGGUUGAACCACCAAAUUAUCAAUUUAUUGAUUCUAUCAAUCUCUUUGAUUCGAUCUAAUUCAAAUAAUCUUAAAUUAUAUAUCAAUUUUUAUUUGCUGCAUUGAAAAUUUAUAAAUUUCUAUAUUAAUAGCCAACCAUAUGAUACAUCCAUACUAAAAUAAAUUAUUUUUAUUUAUAAUACUAAUAAAAGUUAAAAUUUUAAUUAAUUGAAGGAUUUUUCUGUUAAAAUUAACUGUCAAUUGUUAAAUGGUAAUGAUUACUUUUUUUGUGUUAUUUUCAUCACAAGGCAUGGAAGGAUUGUGACACAUGGUGAAAAUUAAUUUUUAUUAAAAAUAAUAAAAAUUAUAAUCAUUAUAAAAAUAUACAAAAAUAUUUUUAAAAAUUACAAAAGAAAUUAUUGAAAAAAUAGAAAAUUGCACAAAAAUGAUAAAAUUAUUAUAAAUAAAAAUAAAAAUAAUUAAAAACUUGCAAAUAUAUUAAAAUUAAAAAAUUAAAAAUUAUAUAAAUUGCAAAAAGAAAAUAUUGUAAAAAAUAUGAAAAAUAUUUAAAAAUAUAGAAAAUAAUAAAUUUUAAAAUUUAAUUCAUAAUCAAAAGGAUUUAAAAAAAUACUUUAUAAUUAAUUUGAUUUAGUUGAAAUUAAUUAACUGAAAUAUUCAUUUAACCAAAAUUUAUUGCAUAUACAAAAUUAAUUUAUUUUAAUUAUAGUUUACAUAUUAUUAGUUUAAGAAUAUUUUAAGUUAAAAUAUAUAUUUAGGACAUGAUUAGUAAUAAGUUGAAUUAAACAGAAAGUGACCAAAUUAAUAAAAGUUGACUCAUUUUAUUUGACUAAUUAUAGCAUUUUUGGAAUAUCUUUGUAGGUUUCAAUCCAAAUCCUCUGCCUCGUCAACCUCUUCAACCUUUUCUAGAGGUAUUACGUUAUUCAAGACUAAGGAUGAGUUUGGAUGGACAGUGUCUUUAGCUGCGGUUAGUGUAAAAAUAGCGGUGGCGGUGAGAUUAGACACUGUAGCGAUUUGUAGCGUGAGAUAAAAAGUAAACUAAACACACCGCAGUGCACCCAAUCCACCCUAAACAAAUAGUCUAUCUUUUAUACAUGUUUAAAUGCAUUUGGGCCAGUCGGCUUGAAUUAUUUUUUUACAAUAAAAGGUAUAAUUUUUAUUUAAAUUAUUUAAAUUUAAUUAUAAAAAUAAAAAUAUUCAUAUUUGAAAUAUUUGAAAUAUUUUAAUUUUUAAAAUAGUAAAAUUAACUAUUUUAGGUAGCCUAGACUUGACUCAGAUGAGUUUUCAAAUUUUUUUGGUUCAACCCAACUUUAACUUAUGAAUACCUAUCUCUAUAAGAGAAAAUUAAAUUAUUUGAAUAAGUACAAUUAUGACAUUAUGUUAUUAAUUUGUUUAAAUUUAUGAAUAACUGACUGAAAAAAGUAACCUUUCAAUUUUAAUUAUCUUUAUCAAAUUAAAAGUACAAUGCCAAAAUUCUUUUCAUUUAGAGUGUUAUUUCAAAUUUUCAAAUUUUAUUUGUGAUAAUUGUUUCUUAUUUAAUAAUUUUACAGGGUUUGAUAUUGAAUCGAUUAGCUGCACUGGCUGAGAUACAUGACAUAUCAAAAGAUUUAUGUUGUAAAUACCAACUUUCAUUGGCUUUAACAUGGGCUUCUAAGGUUAACAAUAUGAAUGAAACUAUCUCAGAUCUAAACAAGAAACAUGUUGUUUUUAUCCAAAGUAAUUCUUGUUAUGUGAAAGAUAGCAAAUCUUAUAAUUUUAUGCUUGUUUCUGAAGACAUGAUUAGUGGCCUCACUAUUGAGAAAGCAUUUGAAUCAAGGGACGGCUACCGUUUUGAACCAUCUAUUACUAAGGUAGAAGCCUACAGAUAUUUCAUGUUAGAGGAUUAUAACAUAGAUGUUGCUGUUGCUAUCUGUCUACAAAAUCGUCACACAAGUGAUGAAGUUUAUGUCGUAGAAUUUUUUUGGCCUCCAACUGAGAGUGAAAUAUCAAAAUCUUUAGCUCUUCGUAUCUUCGAUGACUUCAAACAUAUGAAGACAACGUUUGUAACAGUAAAAGUUCAAGGUCCCGAAAUUAAGUUCCAAGAAGAAGCCAUUUCAAGCAUUCCUACAUCUUCAAACACAGCAAUGCCUUUGAAAAUAGCUGAAAAUGCGCAUAUUGAGCAGGUAAUUACAUUACCUUAUAUUAUUUCAACACUGAAUUAAUUAUGGGUUAGCAUUUAUGGUUCUAAUAUGAUAAUAACAUUUGCUCUAAGAAGAGGUGGUUCCUAAUUUUGACUCUCUGAUUUCUUUACAUUCUUCGUCUAACACACUAAAAGGGCAUUAUAACAAGGUCAUUAUUUAUUCUUCCUUGUUAAUGUCAUAGACUCGAAAUCUAGUUUUUCUUUAACCUAAUCAGUUCCAUAGAAACCCAUAAGUAAAAACUUACAUCAAGACUGCAGCUUAAUAAAUUAAUUUCACGGUAAAUCUAGUUACCUUUUUUACAAUAUUGGUCGAAUAUCUUUUCAACCUCGUAUUCAUAUUUUCUGCUUAAAUAUUGUAUAUAUAUGUAGUAUCAAAUAGAUUUUCCCUUUGGAUAAAAUAUUGAAAUCAUAUAAAGUAAUAUACAUGAUUUAUUAUUCUCAUUUUUCAUAGAUUAUUUUCAAUGAUGACUCUCAGAUUGUGGAAACAAAGCGAAACAAACAGAGAAAGUCGUGGUCAAAGGUUUGGGUGGACUUUGAUAAAUCUGAAGAAGAAGGAAAACAAGUAGCCAAAUGUAAACACUGCCCCAAGGUGCUUACAGGGUCAAGUAAGAGUGGAACCACACACUUGAAUAACCACUUGAAAGUAUGUCCUGGUAAGAAAAAACAAAAUCAAGAAAGCCAGUUGAUACUUCCAGUUGAUACCAAUGAAAGAAGCUCAACGUUUGAUCAAGAAACGAGUCACUUGGAUCUUGUGAAAAUGGUUAUUAGGCAUCAGUAUCCAUUAGAUCUGGCUGGUCAAGAAGCCUUCAAGAAUUUUGUGGAAGGUUUGCAGCCAAUGUAUGAGUUUCAAUCAAGAGAUAAAUUGUUAUCUGACAUACAUCGCAUCUAUAAUGAAGAGAGAGAGAAACUUCAGUUGUAUUUUGAUCAGCUUGCUUGCAAAUUAAAUUUGACAGUAAGUUUGUGGAAGAACAAUCAUGCAAAGACUGCAUAUUGUUGUUUGAUAGCACAUUUUAUUGAUGAUGGUUGGGAACUAAAGAUGAAGAUUCUUGGCUUGAGGAAAUUAGAGCAUGUAUAUGACACAAAGGUCGUUGGUGGAAUUAUUCGGAGCUUUGUUUCGGAGUGGAAUAUAAGUAACAAAGUAUGUUCCAUAACUGUGGAUAACUCUUUUCUGAAUGAUGGUAUGGUUCAUCAGAUAAGAGAAAAUUGUGUUAGCGAGCAGGGCUCCCUUUCUACAGCCCAUUGGUUCAUCAGUUUCACACUUCUUGAGGAUGGGUUUCGUGAGAUGGAUACCAUACUUUCAAAGUUAUGGAAAUCCAUUGAAUAUGUCACUGAAACAACGCAUGGAAAACUGAACUUUCAAGAAGCUGUAAAUCAAGUGAAGCUACAAGGUGGGAAAUCAUGGGACGAACUUUCUUUCAAGCUGGAAUCAGACUCUGACAUACUUGAUAGUGCCUUGAGAUCAAGAGAAAUAUUUUGUAAGCUGGAGCAAAUUGAUGACAAUUUUAUGCUAAACCUAUCAAAGGAGGAAUGGGAGAAGGCAGUAACUCUACAAAAUUGUUUCAAAUGUUUUGAUGAUAUCAAAGGAACUCAAUCCCUUACUGCAAAUUUGUACUUCCCUAAGCUCUGCAACAUGUAUGAGGAAUUUGGUCAACUAAAAAAGAGCAAUCAUCCGUUUGUUAUAUUGAUGAAGAGGAAAUUUGACAACUAUUGGAGCUUAUGUAAUGUGGCUUUCACUAUUGCGGCUGCUCUUGAUCCAAGGUUGAAGUUUAGAUCCUCAUGUAAUGAGACCUAUGAUCUUGAAAGUAUGAUGAAGCUGAUAAGAUUUCGUAAAGUUCUCAUGGAUGUUUACUCUGAGUAUGCUAAUGAAGCCAAAAAUCUGAGUGCAUCAUCUUCAGUCUUGGAUGAUUACAAUUCUUUAGCAGCACAGACCACAAAAGAUUGUAUUGUGAGCUACUUCAGUAAAUUUGCAUCUGCAAGCAAUGUUAAAGAGGUGGCUUCACAGAAGUCAGAGCUUGACUGUUACUUAGAAGAGACAUUGCUUCCCUCGGAUGCAGACAUACUUGGUUGGUGGCGUGUUAAUUCUCAAAGGUUCCCUACACUUGCAAAGAUGGCUCGUGAUUUCCUCGCAAUCCCAGUAUCAGUUUCCUCACCAUGUUCGAAUAUUAGUGCCAUGACCAUAAAUCCAGUCUACAGUAGCUUAGACCCUGAGAGCAUGGAAGCUCUGGUAUGCAGUCAAAAUUGGUUGGAAUCUACAAAGGAAGUAAGUCUAACUUUGACUUUGUUUAGACCCUUUUGUUUAGCUAGAGUUUAUCAUUCUAUUUUCCUACACUUCAAUAGAGGGUCUACUUUUUAGAGUUACAUCAAGUUUUCACUUAUAUGAAUUCAUUUUCUAUCACAGAUGAGGGAGAUCAUCAUGAGCCCAUGCAAAAUAUGGUAUUAAUAUCCAUUGAAUCCUUUUUCCUACAACAUGUCUAAGAAUUUCAAAAGAUUGAAUUACAUUAAUGCAUUUUCAUUUCACAGGAUAAAAGGAAAAGAAAGAUGGAAGAGAAUGACACUUCUACUGUAAAAGUUUUCAAAAACCGGCCUCAUGAAAAAGCUAGUAGUAAUGGAGACAUUGCUAGUGAUUGCAACAAAAAUGGUAUUUGAACCAUACUUGCCAUUAUUAUCUGUUUUGCUACUUAAACUUGGUAUCAAUUGAACUGUUGAAAUGCCAGAUGGUAGUCUAUCUUUUGACAAUUGGAUGGAGCCACAAUGUUCUCCUUCAGAGUCUGUUGGUGAAAAAGCAGAGAUCAUGGAAGCUUCGGUUUGCAAUCGAGAUAGGUUGGAAUCGUCAAUAGGAAGUAAGUUCUUAUGGAGAAACUAGUAGUGGAAACAAAUCUAAAACUACUUAAACAAUGGUUUCCUUUAACAUUUGGCAAUGGCUCACUCCAUUGUUAAGCAAAAUUUCUUGAUACAGAAACUAAUCAUGGAAGAAACAUUGCUGCCGCAAUUGAAAUUCCAAAUGAUGAACCAUCAUUCAACAGUAAUCAAUCGGAUCAAUUUCAAAGCUCAUCUUCCGAGUCUGAUGUUGAGACAACAUUGAGGGAGCAAGGGUCAUGGUGUAGAGAGGUUCAUACUUUAUUUCAAUUUUCUUUAUCUACAUUCCUUUACUUUUUAUGCAUAUAUUAGUGUUCUUACAUUAUGAAUUCUAAUUUCUUGUUCUUAUAAGGACGUUCGGACAUAUUUAGUCUCAAGCUUUACAAACAAGGAGAAAAAACGAUUAAAUAGAUGGAAAAGGUGUGAGUUGAGCGGGUAUGUUGCUAGUUUUAAUUAGUUAAUAUCAGAAUAAUAAGUGAUCAUUAUAAUCUACCUAUAUAUAUUAGAGUUUAUGUUUCAGGGAAAAUCUAACUAUAAAUUAAAAUUUACUUUUCACAGAAAGAAAAUUGGACAAGACAAGGAAUUUCAAUUAAUGGGCGAGAACCUAACACCUUUACUCAUGGUGCCUCAUUGUGAUGAAACACUAAGAGAGUACUAUAUCGAUGAUUCGGUAAUUACUUAUUACGUGAUUGAACCAUAAAUUAGUUUUUUAAUUCGUAUAUUGUUAUCAUUUUUAUAAUUAUAAUUAGUGUUAUGUUUUACUCAUCUUCAAAGUUAAUAGUUCUACAAUUUAAUAUUUUGAUUGAAGAUAUACUAAUGAUAUUAAUGAUUAAUAUUACAUGCAGGUUGUUAAUACUUAUUUUAAAUUGCUUAAGAAGAGAUCCGACAAAUUUCCAAAUGUAUACAUCAAACAUUAUUCGUUUGAUUCUCUAAUAGCUGUAAGUAUUUUUAUCCUGCCAAAAAUUAUUGGUAUUUUUAAAUGAAAUUAUUAGUAUAUUAUAUAAAAUUAUAUAAAGAGAGUACCAUUUAACUUGUAUAUUUUUCAAUUACCAGACUUGCUUAAUAGAAGGAUCCAAAUCAGAAGAUGAAGUAUUAGCCUGGUUUAAAGAUGAAAAGUUAAGAGGGGUCCAUAAAGUAAGCUCAAACUUGUGAUGUAAUUUGGAUUAAAAUAGUUGAUCAUAUCUAAUUGUAAUUCCUUUUUUGUAGUUGUUUCUACCAAUGUGUUUAUCAGCACAUUGGGUUCUUUUCUGUGUAGAUACCAAAGAGAAGAAGAUUUCUUGGUUAGAUCCGAUACCAUCUUCUCGGAUGAUGUCUAUUAAUAGUGUCGAAAAACAAAAAAUAUUCCAGUGGUUCACACUCUAUCUACUGCCACAAUUUGGUUAUAAUGAUGCAGAGAAAUGGCCAUUUGAAGUGCGUACUGAUAUUCCAAAGCAAGAAAAGUAAGAUUUCAUCUUUCAAAACUUACAAGUUUUCUAUAUUUUAUUUACUUAUCAUCUUACAUUUUUUUUUCAUUUCUUUUACUACAACUAAAGCUCGAUUGAUUGCGGAGUAUUCGUGAUGAAAUAUGGUGAUUGCCUAAUGCAUGGUGAUUUCUUCCCUUUUACACAAAAAGAUAUGAUUCAUUUCCGACGUCAUAUCUUUCUUGAUAUAUACCGUGGAAGGUUACAUGGUAAAAGAUAGACAAAUUUGUCACUUGUUUUGGAGCUGAAAUUCAAUGGAUGUGUUUUUUUUCUGUAAUGUUUUUUUAUUGUUAGUUUUGUUAAAUCUGACCCUUUUAUGCACGUAUAGUGUUUUCGUCCUUAGAUUUAUACUUAAUUUCCAUCGCAAUUGAAAUAAUGUUGAGUUUUUGCACUUUAAUUUAGCUCAUGCUUAAACAAUUGACUCCAUUUUGGAUGUUAAGUUUUUCUCUUUCUCCUUUCAUUAUUCAUGUUUCGGAAGCUAAAUUUGUUAUUAAAUCAAUAAAAACAGGCCCAUGUUAGUUCUCCAGCCAAAUACUUAAUUGUGAGUCGCUAAAAUUUUAAAUUUUAAAAAUAUUGGUGAUGAAAUUGAAAGUUUUUGAAGUUAGUUGAUCAAAAUAAAGCCUACCCUAAAGUUAGGUGACUAAUAUUUUAGUCAUUAUUUAGGUUAAAGAAAGUAACUUGACUCUUUUUGAAAGGUUAAUAAUUUAAAUUAGUUUUUAAAAAAUAAAAGUCAACUUGACAAAAGAUAUAAAAGUUAAGUUAAAUUUAUCAUUAUGCCAUUUUAAAAUUUAAAAAACACCAAAUUAAGAUAUAGGACUAAAUCCAUAACUUUCAUAAAUUACAGAGAUCAAUAGCAAAAUUUUAACUGUAAGAAAGCUUAUGAAUAGCACGUAUAAAGGUAAAAGUUUUGAGGUCGUAUUAGUGGAUUGCGUUUCUACUCUUAAAAACUGGCAUGGGUGACAGAAUAACCAAACAGUAACACGUGAUGUGUCAUGUGUACCUCAUGCUAAUAUACAAGGACAAGCUUUUUAACAAUAAAAAUGGAUGAAAAUUUUAAUAGAAUGAUUAAUUUAUUCUUUGAUCUAAUAUAUAGUAACUAAUUUGUCUAUUUUCUGAAUAAAGAGGACAAAAUACAAUCUAAUUCCCAAUACAAGGGCUCCAUGAUACUUUUACCUCUCACAAACUCUCAUCGAAUAUGUGAAGGGUCAUUUGUUGAGUAGAGAUAAACUCAGCAAUAAGUUUGGUUCGCAUCAAAGAAGCGAGACAAAAGGUGUCGCUAUUGUAAGAAGUUAUGUCAUGUCAAAGCAGAUUGUUAUAAAUUACGAAAUAAAAGGGCUGCUAAGAGUAACGAGAAAGAUAUAGCUGGCGCUAAUUUGGCUGAUAAUAGCGAUGCCGAUUUCUUGUUAGUGUCAAUGAGUGAUAGCUCCAAGAUUACGUCUGAGUGGAUCUUAGAUUCGGGAUGUUCUUUUCACAUAUGUCCCAACAGAGAAUGGUUUUCCACAUAUAGUUCGAUUAAAGGUAGUGUUGUGCGCAUGUGAAACGAUUCAUUCGGUAAGGUAAUUGGUAUUGGUACUGUUAAAUUAGGAUGCACGAUGAGACAAUUAGGACACUCUCAGAUGUCAAGUAUAUACCUGAUUUACAAAAGAAUCUCAUCUCCUUGAGUAUUUUAGACUCAAAAGUUUGCAGAAUCAACAUUGAGUCGAGCGGCAUUAAGGUGUCUCGUGGGGCUCUCAUUUUAAUAAAAGGUAAAAGGACCGACAAUAUAUAUAUUCUAGAAGGUUCUAUAGUGACCGGUGAAACCAGAUGUCCCUCGUCCAUUACGGAGUCAGAGUCAACUCGUUUGGCACGGAGACAACUUAGUUAUAGGAGGAAAAAGUGUUUGACUAUUUUGUUGAAGAGAGAUUCUCUUUUGGAUGUAGGUUUUGAAAAGUUACAGCACUGUGUUCGUGAAAGUCAUACUCGAGUUAGUUUUGAUUUCGCAGUGCACAAGUCAAAGGCUAGAAGUCUUCCAGGUUCUAAGCACAGAUUCAACUCAAUUAAUUCCCUGUAUAGUUCAAGAUAGGCUCAUGGCAGGUUUUGGCAAAGAUGGCGUUGUGGAAAUAUGAGUCAAUGUAGAGAUUUGUUGAGUAUGACUCCUAUUUUAGUCAAAUUUGAGAAAUAAUCUUCCAGUUAAAUUUUGUUUAUUUGUUUCAAUCAAACUCUUAUUAGUCUAAAUUAUUUUAUUAUUAUUUUAUCUAUGGAUUUAGCCUAUAAAUAUGCUCUUUUACAACCUUAGAAAAUACACUUAUUAGAGAUUAGAACUCAUAACAAUUUUAGAUAUUUUUGUGUUUAUGUUUUAAGGGUUUUUUAUUUUUGGGGUUUAGUUUUUAUGUCCAUCUUUUGUACUCUUCGUUCCUUGCCAUUAUAGUAAAAUCAUCUUUGUUUGUGGUUUUUUAUCCUCUUUGGAGUAGUUUUUCCACGUUAAAUUUGUGUGUUCAAUUUCUCAAUUUAUUCCUCUAUUUUUACUUGUUCGUUACUUAAUCGAGUCUAUCUCCAACAAUUGAAGGAGUAAGGACCAUGAACAGGUUAAUGCUUCAUUUCUUACACACACACAUAUAUAUUCCUCUGGUUUUAUGCAUAUAUUAAUGGUUCUGCAUCAUAAUUUUAUUUGAAUAUUGUUCACAUUGGAUGUUAAGGCAUAUUUACUUGAAAAAAAAUUACUUGAACAGGUUCUCAUGAAGAGGUUCAACAAGGACCAACUUGAUUGUAAGGUUGAAACUGCCAAAAAUAAAAUUUACUUAAAAAAUGAAUAGUAAAAAAUGACAAAUAGGAUUGCAUCCACAAAAAUCGGUAGAAAUUUUAUUCCCUUAACUAAAAUAAUUAAAAUAAAGAGGGAGGUUUUGUUUAAAGAAAAACUUAAAAAUUAAUAUUAAGAUUUGGAAAAAACAAAGAAAGCAAUAACUAAAAUUCCAAGGAAAAUCAAUGAGAUGAAGUUUCUAAUCAAAGUAAAUUUUUCGUUUAAUUCAAAGGUUUGAUCAUUGAUGCAAAAAUAAAUUUCAAUAUUUUUUAAUAAAUUAGUUAUAGUUAUCGACGAUUGUCAAGUAACUUAAUAUCUUCUUACCUUUCAUUAUUAACAAACAACCUCAUAACGACCACUUAAGAAUUUAAUUUAUCAAUAGUUUUAAAGAACAAAAGAAACUUAAUUCUAAAAAACAAAUGCACAUCAAAGUUUAUUUAAAUAAGAUUGCAUGCCUACAUACAUAAAUUAUUAUGCAAUCGCCACAAUUAUUAGAAACCAAUUGAUCAACUAAUUAUCUAAUUCACAAAGCAAUUAUUCUAAGCUUUCAAAUAUUGGUCAUAUAUUUAACAAACUUGAACAAUUGUAAUUAAACCAAAAGAUAUGCAAAUACCAAAGAACACAAAAAAGAUUAAAAGCAAAUUAAAUCUCACAACCUGUAGAAUCGAACUUCAAAUUUUACUUUAACUAGAAAAGAGGAGUUUAGCAAGUCAUAAAGAAAAUAAAACGCAAAGCGAAUUAAAAUUGGAAACGGAGAUCCUUCAUCUCUAUUCUAAGAUCCUAUUUAUAGAGUUUAUGGAGUCUUAACUGACUUCAAACUAGGGUUACAAAUUAGCAUGGUUUCAGAUGGGGGUUGAGGUGUAAUGUAUUUAACUUACUUUUUGUUUCACGUUACAAUAUUACUACAAUAUCUAAUCUCACAUACAUGAUUAUUUUACACUAACGCAGGUAAAAGUACCAUUCAUCCAAACCCACAUUUACACUUAAAUACUCAAAAAGACAAAAGUAACCAUUCAUCUUAAUUUUGAAAUAGCAAACAAACCCACAAGACACGGGCAAUGAUGUCAAGCCUCGAUGAAAAGGGGUUGUGGCAUGAAACUCGGGCCGCUGGCUGCUGUGCUGGAGCACCCCUUGCUACUUUGGGCCAGCGCUAGUGAACUUGGUUUUGGAUCAAUGCGUGAUUAGAGAUUUUUUUUUUCUUUUUACCGUCCACAAUUAAAGCUUAUUCCUUAUAAAAUUGGGAACAACAAAAUAAUAUAUAUAUUUUUUUGUAAAGAAGAAUAGCUUUAAGCAUUGUGAAAAUAAAAUGCGGUUUAAAGUAUUCUUUUUAGCCACUAACUUUGGGAGAAUCUUGAAAUUAAAAAAAAAUUCAUACCUUUUAUUUAACUUUUACGUAAUAGUCCGUGGGCCCUAUUCAAUCUUUUGGUUCGGUGUAUUGACCUAAUACGGGUCUAUUACAUUAUGAAAAUACCCCAAAAUAUACUAAUUUCUAUUUCCUUCCUUUUCUCAGUUUAGGUGUUGCUUUAGUUUUAUGCCCUGAUUUACCCUCUCGAUUCACGCUUCUGUUUUACCCAAAAUCCACCGUCUUCUGUUUCUUCCUUCUAGCUUUCUUCUCCACUCUCCUCGCCGUCUUUUCCUUCUCUUUUUUACAUCUCUUUGGCAUCACAACUGGACUUAGAACACCGAUCAGAAAGCACCCUCCAUCUCACGUUUUCCGGCGAAACUGGUGAAGUUUUUACUAUUGUGUCCAUGGGAACCGGUAAAGAAGAUACAGCAGUCUUCCUGGAUCGUGCUUCUCGAUCAACCAGAGGGAGAAGGUGAAUCUUCAACCUAAAUUAAGAUAGGAUUCCUUUUAUUUAGAGCCACAAUAUUGGGAGUAGCUAGAAAUUAUGAUCAGUUUUAGGUUUUGAUUAAAGGAUUCAGAGGCAUUAAAGUUUAUUAGUUUUAGGUUUUGAUUAAAGGAUUCAGAGGCAUUAACCCUUUUUCUGUUUGUGGUUCUCUCCUUAGGAGGAGAAUAAUGUCAAUUACGAAGAAGAGCCAGAGGUUGCUGAUGUGUUUGAUAGUGACUUCGAUGAAGAUGUUUGUAUUGCUCUUUUCUCUACAUUUGAUUUAAUUCAUUUUCUAUAAUUACUCUUCCGUUGUAGGAUAUCUUUCUGUGCUAAGAGAACUUCACACCUUUGGUAUCUUGAAAAUUGACUCUCUUCUAUGGCUUGGCUGCUAGGAACCUGAGCCAGAUGAGGAAGUAGAAAAUGAUGCAGAUGAAAGGUUUAGCUUCUUUUACCUUUUUUGUAUUGUAUUUACAUCUCCAUUUCAUUGCCCUUAUUUUUAUAUUUAAUCGCCCUAGCAGGUUUCGCACAAAGAAGCGUCUGAUAUUUCCUGGAAAGCCUUCUAUGAAGAAAAAGAAAGUUCUUUCAAAUUUAGAUGGUGAUUCCAAGGAUGAAAAUCUUACUCAAAAGACUUCCUCUACACAGCAUCAUGAUGCCCCUGAUGAUGCAGAAGGUGAAAGAAUUAUAAGGAAAUCUACAAGAACUUCAGUCAUUGUUAGGCAAGCUGAGCGAGAUGCGAUACGUGCUGCUCUGCAGGCUACAAUGAAGGCAAGUUUUUUGUUUAUUUUUUUCUUCUUUUAUAGGAAAAUAUUUCUAGUAGACAUUGUUAUAUCAAAAAUGGGAAAAUAAAAUGGAUCAUGGAAUUGGUUACUGCAUAUAUCUUUUCUAACUGAUAUUUAUAUGUGUAUAAAUAUAUAUUCUUUUGUAUAUAGAUGAGAUCUAGUUUAAACUUAAGCAAAAUAAUACAAGAAGUGUUUUCAUAACGACUGCUUUGAGUAUUAUACCAUUUGAUGUUUGUUCUUGACUGUACUCUUGUUCUUGAAGCUUGAAUUUCACCGGUGAGAGACUUGGGUAUAUGUUGGAGGGAGCUUAGGGGGGAUGAUUGUCUCAAAGUGCCAUAGUAUUUCCUAGAUUCCUGAUGUGUGAAUUGACGUCUUUGUACAAGUAAAUGACAUUCCUCCCUUACUUUAAAAAAGGAAAAGAAAUAAUAUAAAUAAAAGGAAAGUGUAAAUCAAACCGAAUGGGCAUCUCAAUAAUUUUUCUUGAAGUACCCAUCUCCAGCACUUGUGUCCAACAUGUGGAUAUGGAGUUAUUACCUCUAAAGAUCGUUAGACCUUGUGUCCAACCAUGUCCAGCACUUGUGUCCAACAUGUUUUCUGUUGCCUUAGACCUUGUCAUGCUACUUCUAGCAACAGAGUGCAACUUUAUUAUCUAUGUUUAGAUAAUUAUACAUAGAAUGUAUAAGCUUAGAUUAUUAUACAUAGAAUGUCCUAAUAAAGAUAUCAAGAAUUUCACACUACACUUUAUGCACAAAUCUGAGUGUUGGUUAUCUAAUUGAGCAUUGAAAUGCAUAGCUUUUUAUGGUCACUUGCACUUGUUUUCCCCUCCAUUUGAGGUUUGCAUUUUCUUUGAGACCAUAAUGUAGUUAGAAGCAAUAAAAAAACAAUCACUGUCUUUUACUGCAACUUCUGUAAUCCUUUGGUUGAAACUCAUGAACUAUUCAGAAAUGUGAAACUGUCAAGUUGUACACGGUCAGAAUUUGAGGCAUGUCUGUGUGUGUAUGUAUUGUUUGAUUGUAUAAUUUGGAAAGAGAGAUUGAAACCUCGUGCUUUCUUUGAGUUUAUGCCUUAACUUGUAUGGAACCUUCAUGGUAGUAAUUCUGAAUAUAUCUUUGGGCAGAUUGUUCUGUCUGGUUUUGCGGCAGCAGAUGAACAAUUAAGGCUCACGACUAUGGUGUUCAAGAACAUCUUUCCGGAUAUUGAUAUCAAUACUGUGAGUUCACUUAGACUGUUAAAUUAUAGUAUCCAAAGUGAUCUCAUUUCUUUUCUUCUUCCCUCUUUAACAUUGUUUGGACAUGAAUGUUUCAGGUUAAACUUUCUUCUUGCCAGAGGAUUGUGUUGCUUAACUACAAUAAAGACACGAAGCUUAUUGAUUUUCGACAUUAUUCUAUCAGACUACAGCCUGUUGGUGUCUCGCGUAGAAUUCAAAAAUUCGUGCAGAACCAUCAAGUGCCUGAUCUUCGGAAUCUUCAAGAUGUGAGCGACUUUGUAUUGUUAUGAGCUAUACGUAUUUAUAGUACUGUCCUUUUGAAUGGUAUACUCUUUGUGAUUCGUUUAGUUCUCCUCACACCUUUGAUCUAUUAUAUGAAGAGCGGGUUAUGGAUCAGAAAGCGAAGCUGAUGAGGAAGCUGCAACAGUUACUCUGACGAGUGAUCUUAGUCGAGUUAAUCGUGCCUCUACAAAAAGCGCAGUUAAGCUUCAAGAAAUUGGACCUAGAAUGACUCUCCAACUCACCAAAAUUGAGGGUGGACUAUGUUCUGGUGAAGUUAUGUUCAGUGAAUAUGGUAUGUUCAUCUAUCCAUGUGAAAACAAGAGAAGAAUAAGAAUUUAUCUCGAAAAAGAAAGAAGUCUCUUAACCUUAUCAUUUACAUGCUAGAUUAUUUUGCUGAGACAUGUUCUAUAACGUGCCUUUAUUCAACUAGCAUAUUUAUUUAACUAUUUUGUUAUUUAUCAGGCAAUGGUGGCAAUAAGAAAGAGCCAGGCAAUGAGGGUAAUGAAAAGGAAGACGGUGACAAUGAUGGCCAAAUGGAGGAUAGCGAUGAAGAUGAUGAAGCGGAUAACGAGGAAGAUAUGGAAGAAAGUGAAGAAGAUUAGUGCUUUAGCAAAGUGGAAGGUGCAAUACAACUUCCAUUUUCUGAUUAAAUGACAUGGCACUUGACAUUAGCCAUGUUCUUUACAUGGGGAAGAUGCUUAUCUGGACUGAGGAUCUGAUAAGCUUUUGUGCCAGUUAGCCUCUUGUUUUUGCCUUUUUACUUCCCAGCUUUGUCUGUUUCCUCCUAAAUUUUGGCUUAAGUUUGUUGUAGAAGAUCCAUAGAUUUUGAUAUAAGAAAGAAAAGGCUAUAUUUUCAACUUUUUUUCUCAAAAUAUUUGUACUAAUAAAUCAAUUCACGUUCCUUAUGUGCUAAUAAUAUUUUAAUAGCAUGAACAUUGGCAUGGUAUCUCAGCAUGUCAGAGAAAACUCCCUGCAAGCAGUAGAAGACACAAUGAGAGGUUAAAAAUAUCUGUAGGCUUAUAUUUGGGAACAUAACAGAUACAAUAAGGUAAUACAUAUUAAGUUGAUUCUGAACCUAUUCUAUUGAGAAAUUUAAACAACAUAGAUUAUAAAUUAUAUUUAAUAAUAAUUAUUUUAAAUUAUAUUUUAUAGUAUUAUAUAUUAUGAUUUUAGUAAAUUCAUAUAAUAAUAUUUAAUACUACAUAGAUUAUAAAUUAUAUUUAAUAAUUAUUAUUUUAAAUUAUAUUUUAUAGUAUUAUAUAUUAUGAUUUUAGUAAAUUCAUAUAAGAAUAUUUAAUACUAAGAAUUUUAUCAAAUUAUAUAUUUUUAUUAAAUUAUAUUUAAUAAUAAUUAUUUUAAAUUAUAUUUUAUAGUAUUACAUAUUAUGAUUUUAGUAAAUUCAUAUAUUUUAUUAAAUUAUAUAUUUUUAUUAAAUUAUAAUAAUUAUGUUAAAAUAUGAUUAAAUUAUUUAUUAUUUAUAUUAAUAAUCUUAUUAAAAAUUGAUAACAAUAACAAUAAUCAUCUACCUAACAAAAAUUCUGCAAAGAGUAUUCUAGUCAUUUUAGUUUUUUUCCUUAUGCUAUUACACAUCUUAUUACAUUCAACCAAACACAAGAAUACCAUUACGCCUCUAUUCCAUUCCAUUUAACCAAACAAAAUAUUUACCUAUUACGUCUCUAUUUCAUUACGCAUUUAUUUCAUUACACCUCUAUUCCAUUACAGCGAACCAAAUGUGCCCUUAGUUUUUAAAAUAUUAUUUUAGAAUAAAUAAUAAUUUGGCAAAUAAUUAAAUCCAAAUGGAAGCCAAAAUUUGAAAAGGCUGUAUCACAUUAUUUCCAGAACCACAAGGAAAAGAAGAAACUUCAAAGUUGAAACAGUGUUUUCCGCGUGGAGUAUCUCCAUCAAUCAAGGACUCGCGAUUGCUUUUACUUUGGGAUAAACUAACUUUUAAUCUUUGAUUUUGAUAUUUUUUUAAUUGAGUCCUUAAUUUUUUUGGUUUACUUUAUUUUAGAAUUUGAUAAUUUUUUUUAAGUUUUAGGUCAUGUGAUGACAUGAUAAUAUGAUAUUAUACUAUAUUAUCACUUAAAAAAUAUAUUUUUCUUUCCGUUUUAGGAAUUUUUAUCUAUUCUUAUAGUACUUUUUUUAGUCUUAUUUAUACAAGUAACCUUAGUUUUACAAGUGAUUUUAUGGAUGAUUUUGUAGUCGUCCUCUCUAGUUUGAUGAAUGCUCUAAUCUUUUUUUUAUUUUUACCCGCCGCUUUAGAUCAUCCGUGGUUGAUUUUCUUAUCGCAUUAAGUGCUUGUAAUCACUCUAUAUAUAUCGUGCUUGAAUUGUGAUAAAGUCAAUUAUCAACGAGUUGAGUCAUGAUAUUGAGGAUAAAAUCUUUAAUCUGUUGUUUGAGUUUGUCUUUUACUAUCUAUGAUGAAUAUUUAUUAUUUUUUCUUUAAAUUUUAUGAUUCCUUUCAUUAAUUAAUAAAUUUACCUUUAAAUAUAUAUAUAUUUAUAAAAAUUAGAUAAUAACAUCACACCAUUUUAGAAUACAAAAUCAGGGAUCAAAUUUGUGAAAUUCUAAUAUUAAUGUAGAAAAAAAAAAAGAGAGAGUAGGUUGAGAUAUUAUAUAUUUAAUUUUCAGGCAGGUAAUUUGUAGGAAGAAAAAAGAAAAGUCAAAAUAGAAACAGUGACUAUUCCGCGUGAGUGAUCAAUGACGCGCUUUUCCUACUGCUUUUGCUUUUCCUCAGUGAUCAUGUUGCUGCUUUCACUUACUUUUCUACUAUAUUUCUCUUCUGCUUUACCCAAACUCUGUUGAAUCUCACCUUCUUUCAUGGCUUCUUUUUUUGACAUCGACACCGACACCGCCUUGAGAUUGUUACUAUCCUGCGCUGAAGCUAUUGAAGAAUAUGGGGAUCUGAAAAGCGCCGAUGCGUUCCUUCAUAAUAUCUUGAUUCUUGCUGAUCAGAUACCCAACUGGUUUCAAGAUGAAAUCAAAGUGGUGAAAUACUUUGCGGACGCUCUGGCUCGCCGAGCCUACGGACUGCAUCCCGCUUCUUCCUUCUUCACUUUCCCGGUUGAUCCUUUACCAUAUUAUCAUUAUAACAGCUACCAUAUUAAUGGCGUCAUAAAAAAAGUUGUCGAUGGUGCUUUGAUGGGAAGCAGGCGAUUGCACGUCAUUGAUUUCUCCAUCCCGUAUUGCAGGUUUCAGAAUUCAGUUCUUCGUACACUACCGAACUUCUCCGGCGAUCCUCUACCCGUCCGUGUAAGUUACACACUUCCACCAUUUCUGAAAAAACAUGUAAAGUUCUCACGCCAAAUGGAGAUUUUGACUAAGGAUGCCGAGGAAGUUAAUGUAAAGUUGGAGAAUGAAUUGAAAGUGGUUUAUGGCAAUAGUUUGGCAGAAGUGGAUGAAUGUGAAAUAGAUUUCAAAAGAAGAAGAGAUGAUGAAAUGGUGGUGGUUUACUAUAAAUUUAAACUUGAUAAGUUGGUAAGAGAAGCAAAAGCAAUGGAGAGAGAGUUAGCAAGAUUGAAGGAGAUAAAUCCGACGAUUGUAAUCAUGCUAGACUUUUAUUCUAAUCAUGGCGACUCCAAUUUCUUGACAUGUUUCAAGGAUUCAUUUCAGUAUUCCUUGAAGACUCUUGAUUACUGGGCGGAGUUGGACUGUUAUCUUGAAGGGGAGUAUGGGUGGGAGUGCAACAGAGAGGCAGGGGAAGGUAAUAAUAUAAUUAGGCGGCACCCAACUUUGACAGAAUGGCAACAUCUCUUUUCAAUGGCUGGCUUUAGUCGAAUUCCAUUAAACCACAGGAAAGAUAAUCUUAGCGUUGAGGAUGAAAGUUGGUUAGAAAUAAUGGGGGAGAAAGAAGAGUGUUUGAUUUUAGGUUACAAGGGAUGUCCAAUGUUUUUCUUAUCGGCAUGGAAACUCAAAGUUGAAGAUGGACACUUCAAUUCCAUUUCCACCAACCAUACGUUUGGACAAGGUAUUCUUUUUUUCUUCUUUUCUUUUUUCUUUUUAAAUUAUAUAAUAAUUUUGCAAUUAAAUUGAUGGUUGAACCACCAAAUUAUCAAUUUAUUGUUUUCAUCAAUUUUUGAUUCAAUCCAAUUUAAAUAAUCUUAAAUUAUAUAUCAAUUUUUUUAUGCAUUGAAAAUUUAUAAAUUUCUAUAUUAAUAGUCAACCAUAUGAUACAUCCAUAUUAAAAUAAAUUAUUUUAAAAUUACUAAAAAUAAAUGAGUUAAAAUAAAUAAUCUUAACUUUCUAUACUUUUUUUUUUCAUUCAAUUGAGCUUUUAAAUGUUAAAAUUUCAAUCAAUUUUGAUUUUUCUGUUAAAAUUAAGGUCAAUUGUUAAAUGGUAAUAGUCACCUUUUUGUGUUAUUUUCAUCACAUUGCAUGGAAGGAUUGCGACACAUGGUGAAAACUAAUAUUUUAUUAAAAAUAAUACAAAAAUAUAAUCAUUACAAAAAUAUACAAAAAAAUUUUAAAAAUUACAAAAAAAUUUAUUGAAAAUAUAGAAAAGUGCACAAAAAUGAUAAAAUUAUUAUAAAUAAAAAUAAAAAUAAUUAAAAACUUGCAAAAAUAUUAAAUAUUAAAAAUUAAAAAUGAUAUAAAUUGCAAAAAGAAAAUGUUUUAAAAAAUAUGAAAAAUAUUUAAAAAUAUAGAAAAUAAUAAAUUUUAAUAAGUUAAUAAAAAUAUAAAAUAUUAUAAAAAAAAGUAUAAAAGUUAUAAAAAAAUUUAAAAGGAUAAGAUAAACUAAGGUGGAAAAUAAGUUGAGAAGUCAAGUGACAACUAAGGCUGUAUAUAAAAUUGUAGAUAUUUAUAUAUAUUUAAAAUAUUUGAUAUAAUUUUUAUUUUUUUAAAAUUUUCUAUUAUUUGUUGAAUAUUUUUUUUGUAAUUUUAUACAUUUUUUUGCAUGUUUAUAAUUUUUAUAGUUGUUUUAUGAUUUUAUUUUUUAUGGUUUUUAAAUGAAAAUAUCAAUUUUUCGUUAUGUGACAUAAUCUUAAUGUACCACAUGAUGAAAAUAACCCAAAAGAAUAGUAAUAGACUUAACUAAUUGAAAUUUUAAUAUUUAAAACCUCAAUUGAGUGAAAAAAAAUAAAAAAAUUGAAUUGAUUAUUUUCAAAAAUUUCAAAUGUUUCAAAACCUUUUAGCCUUUAUUUUAUUAUAUAAUAUGAUUUAUUGACUAUUCUCAAUGUAUACGAAUAAUAUAUCAAAUAUAGAUUAUAAACACACGUGAAAAUGAAUAACUUACAUUAAUUUCCACUUACAUGACUUUUUGAAUCAUCAAUUAAAAUUUAAUUCAUAAUCAAAAGGAUUUACAAAAAUAGUUUAUAAUUAAUUUGAUUUAGUUGAAAUUAAUUAACUGAAUUAUUCAUUUAACCAAAUUUCUGGGUAUAUUGCAUAUACAAAAUUAAUUUAUUUUAAUUAUAGCUUACAUAUUAUUAGUUUAAUAAUAUUUAUUUUAUGUUAAAAUAUAUAUUUAGGACAUGAUUAGUAAUAAGUUGAAUUCAACAGAAAGUGACCAAAUUAAUAAAAGUUGAUUCAUUUGUCCCGCCCGGCCCGAUGGCCAGCCCGAAAUAUGAGAGGGUUUGAGAAAAAGAAUAGGCCUGAAACAUGAUUUUGGGCAAAAAACGAGGCCCGUUUAGAAAAUGGACCGAGCCUCGGGCAAAAAAAAUUUGGCCCGGACCCGGCCCGGCCCGGCCCGAAAAUAUAUUAAAUAUAUAUUUUUUUUAUUUUUAAAAUAUACUAGUUUUAGUUUUAUUUUAAGUUACAAAAUGUUAGAUUUUGUUACAACAAUUAAUACAAUUAACAAUUAAUAAUUUGAUAUAAUUUGAUAAUUUUACUAAUAAUUAAUACAAUUAACAAUUAAUAAUUUUACUAACAAAAUGUUAGUAACAAUUAAUAAUUAAUAAUUUGAUAUAAUUUGAUAAUUUUAGUAACAAUUAAUACAAUUAAUAAUUUUACUAACAAAAUGUUAGAUUUUACAAAAUGUUGAUUGGUACAAAAAAUAUAUAAUUUGAUACAAUUUUAAUAAUAAUUAAUUUUGAUAACAAUUAAUUUUAAUAACAUUUAGUUUUAAUUUUAAUAAAAAUAUAAUUUUAAUUUUAAUUAAAAAAGGGUCGGGACGGGCCGGGCUCGGGUUUUAUAUUUUUCCCCCGGGCCCUGUAACAACCCUUACCCGAGACCGUUGCCGGAGUCGAGUAUGAGACGUUACUUGACUUAAUUUAAAAGUUCAGGGCAUAAAAGUUUACUUUUAAAAGUUAUUUCAUUGUUCCUAAUAAAGCUGUCCCCCUACGCAGUAGUCACUAAAUUAAUUAAAACUCAAGCUAUGAAACUCAAAAUUUAUAUCCGUAAAUUUUCUCUGAAACUAGACUCAUAUAUCUUUUUACCAGAAAAUUUUCAGAAUUUUUGGUUCAGCCAAUUAAUACAGUUUAUUAGUUAAAGUCUCCCCUAUUUCAGUAACUGACUGUCCUGACCUCUUGUCACUAAAAUUAAAUUUUCUCUUUGCACAGACUUCAUAUGGUGCUUCCACUUAUUUCUACUUAAAAUAGACUCAUUAAGGAAUUUAAACAUAUAAUUUAUAACUCAUAAUUCCUUUUGUACUAUUUUUAAUGAAUUUCUAAAGUUAGAACAGGGGACUUCAAAAUCAUUCUGACCCUGUCUCACUAAAAUUCAAAUAUCUAAAAGUAUAUAACUCUUUUGCUUACUCUAUUGCUUUCAUGUGAAAGUAGACUCAUUCAGCUUUAAUUUCAUAUCUCAUUCAACUUUUAAUUCUAUUUACACUAUUUUUGGUGAUUUUUCAAAGUUACAUCAAUGCUGCUGUCCAAAAACUAUUCCAUUGAAAUUUUUAAAAAAAAGUUCAAUAUAACCCCUUUAUAAUUAUCUAACAUUCCCGGCAAAUUUCAAAUCACAACCAAUUUCAGUAUUUCAACUACUUCACUUAAAUACUAAUGAAGUUCAACCAAUCAACCAUUUCAAACUAAAAACAUGUAUAUCUCAAUGUCUAACACAACCAUCACAUUCAAAUUUACUUUACAUACUUAGUCAUUCAUUCUAUUACUUUUUACUUCAAUUCCUUAUACAUGCCAUAUAAAUCCAAAAAGUUGUUUAACAAAAUCUAUCGGAGUAAAUCUGGAUAGUGUGUUUCUUAGUGUAGAUCCGAUCCUCCGAAUGUAUAAAUACGUCAAUCUACAAGAAACAAUAAACACACACAAGUAAGCUUAUAGAAAGCUUAGUAAAUUCAUAGGCACAAAACAUAAAUCUUACCAAACAUUUAUACACUUAUACAUUAUACACCAUUAUUAAGAUUACCUGUCAACCACAAUCUUUGGUGAGUUCCUUAGUAUAAACUCACUACUACUUAUUCUUUACCAUAAUUCCUUUGGGCCCAUUUGUCACUUACCAUCCUUGAUCAAAAUUAAGGAACGGUUACGGAAAAUUGAGUACUUCACUUUCACUUUGCCAUAGUAUAACUAUGGUGUUACGUAAGAUCACUUAUCACUUGUCCUUGAUCAGAUAAGUGUAGCUAGGCUACCACCUAUCACUUUGUCACUUGAUCAAAUAAGUGUAGCUAAAGUUAACACUUAUCACUUUGUCACUUGAUCAGAUAAGUGUAGCUAAAGCUACUACUUAUCACUUUAUCAACACUUAUCACUUGUUCCUGAUCAGAUAAGUGUAGCUAAAGCUACCAUUUAUCACUUUGUCACUUGAUCAGAAGUACUCAAAUCCAGCGUUCCGCUCAAUUUGAUUAUUUAUUCAGUUUUCGCAUUUUUAUUUUAUUCUCAUUUCAUCAAUAAAUAUAUAUAUUUCAACAUACAUUAUAUAAUUCAUGAAAUUAACAUUUAAUCAUUAAAUUUCAGCCAUAUGAAUUUACCUGGGUCGAUUUGCAGAAUUUGUAAAAGUUCAGGGACUAAUCAGCUACUUUUUCUUUUCCUCGACUUGUUUCGGGUUCUCGAUAUGAUUCAAAUAUAUGAAAAACCAGCUUGUUUCAGACCUCCUAUGGCGUCUUUGCUGAUAAAUUGUGAAGAGAUCUCUAGAUUUUUCACUUUUGUCUUUGUUUUAUAUGUUUAAUUUGUUAAGUUUCCAAUUUUGCCCCUGUUUUUCCUUACAUUCUGCUGAUUUUUCUUACCCAACCGUCCAACCCAUAUAAUUUGGGUCUAAUUGCCUUUUAAAUCCCUCCUCAUUAGUCACUUAAGCUAUUUAAUCACAAUUUAACAAAUGUUACUUUGUUUUCAAUUUAGUCCUUUUUAGUUAAUUAACCAUCCAAACGUUAAAAUUUUCUAACGAAACUUUAAUACCAACUCAAUGACACUCUAUAAAUAUUUCUAAAAAUAUUUAUGGCUCGGUUUAAAAUCUUCGAGGUCUCGAUACCUCGUUUUUUACUUUAAUUAUUUUAAUAUUUAUUCUUAGUACACUAUUCACUAUUUCAAAAAAUUUCCUAACUUCACAUUUAACUUAUACUUACUAAAUUUAUAAUAUUUUCUACUCAUUGUCAGAUUUAGUGAUCUCGAAUCACCAUUCCGACACCACUGAAAAUUCAGGCUAUUACAGGCCCGGCCUGGGCAAAAUCUCAGGCCCAUAUUUCGGGUCGGGCCAGGCCCGGGCCUAGGAAGUGGGCUGAAAAUUUUUCCCCAGCCCGGCCCAUGGACACCUCUAAUUUGUCCUUUCUUUAUUUGACUAAUUAUAGCAUUUUCAUUGAAUGGGAUAUCUUUGUAGGUUUCAAUCCAAAUCCUCUGCCUCUUCAGCCUCUUCAACCUUUUCUAGAGGUAUUACUUUAACAUUUAUCCCCCCUUUUUUUUUACAAUAAAAAGUAUAUUUUUUAUUUAAAUUUAAUUAUAAAAAUAAAAAUAAAAAUAUUUGAAAUAUUUUAAUUUUUAAAAUAGUAAAAUUAACUAUUUUAGGUAGCCUAGACUUGACUAAGUAAGAUGAGCUUUCAAUUUUUUUUGGUUCAAUCCAACUUUAACUUAUGAAUACCUAUCUAUGUAAGAGAGAAUCAAAUUUAUUUGAAUAAGUAUAAUUAUGACAUUAUGUUUUUAAUUUUUUUAAAUUUAGUCACCUUUCAAUUUUAAUUAUCUUUAUCAAAUUAAAAGUAUAAUGUCAAAAUUCUUUUCAUUUAGAGUGUUAUUUCAAAUUUUCAAAUUUUGUUUGUAAUAAUUGUUUCUUAUUUAAUAAAUUUACAGGGCUUGAUAUUGAAUCGAUUAGCUACACUUGCUGAGAUACAUGACAUAUCAAAAGAUUUAUGUUGUAAAUAUAAGCUUUCAUUGGCUUUAACAUGGGCUGCUGAGGUUAACAAUAUGAAUGAAACCAUCUCGGAUCCUAAGAAGAAACAUGCUUUUUCUAUCCAAAGUAAUUCUUGUUAUGUGAAAGAUAGUAAAUCUUAUCGUUUUAUGUUUGUUUCUGAAUGCCUGAUUAGUGGCCUCAUUAUUGAGAAAGCACUUGAAGCCAGGGACGGCUACCAUUUUGAACCAUCUGUUACUAAGGUACUUACUAAGGUAGAAGACUUCAGAUAUUCCAUGUUAAAGGAUUGUAACAUAGAUGUUGUUGUUGCCAUUUGUCUACAAAAUCGUCACACAAGUGAUGAAGUUUAUAUCGUAGAAUUUUAUUGGCCUCCAACUGAGAGUGAAAUAUCAAAAUUUUUAGCUCUUCGAAUCUUCGAUGACUUCAAACAUAUGAAGACAACGUUUGUAACAGUAAAAGUUCGAGGCCCCGAAAUUAAGUUCCAAGAAGAAGCCAUUUCAAGCGUUCCUACAUCUUCAAACACAGCAAUGCCUUCGAAAAUAGCUGAAAAUGCGCAUAUUGAGCAGGUAAAUACAUUACCUUAUAUAUUCUUAUAUUAUUUCAACACUGAAUUAAUUAUGGGUUAGCAUUUAUGGUUCUAAUGUGAUAAUAACAUUUGCUCUAAGAAGGGAUGGUUCAUAAUUUUGACUCUCUGAUUUCUAUACAUUCUUCAUCAAAGGUUGUUGCAGCUCCUUUUAACACACCAGAAGGGCCUUAUAACAAAGUCAUUAUUUAUUCUUCCUUGUUAAUGUCAUAGAGUGUCUAAACAUGAAAUCUAGUUAUUUUUUUAACCUAAUCAGUUCCAUAGAAACCCAUAAGGAAAAACUUACAUCAAGAAUCCAGCUUAAUAAAUUAAUUUCACAGUAAAUCUAGUUACCUUUUUUACAAUAUUGGUGGAAUAUCUUUUCAACAUCGUUUUCAUAUUUUCUUCUUAAAUAUUGCAUAUAUAAUUAUAUGUAGUAUCAAAUAAAUUUUCCCUUUGGAUAAAAUAUUGAAAUCAUAUAAAGUAAUAUACAUGAUUUAUUAUUCUCAUUUUUCAUAAAUUAUUUUCAAUGAUGGCUUUCAGAUUGUGGAAACAAAACGAAACAAACAGAGAAAGUCGUGGUCAAAGGUUUGGGUGGACUUUGAUAAGUUUGAAGAACAUGGAAAACAAGUAGCCAAAUGUAAACACUGCCUCAAGGUGUUUACAGGGUCAAGUAAGAGUGGAACCACACACUUGAAUAACCACUCGAAAGUAUGUCCUGGUAAGAAAAAACAAAAUCAAGAAAGCCAGUUGAUACUUCCAGUUGAUACCAAUGAAAGAAGCUCAACGUUUGAUCAAGAAACGAGUCACUUGGAUCUUGUGAAAAUGGUUAUUAGGCAUCAGUAUCCAUUAGAUCUGGCUGGUCAAGAAGCCUUCAAGAAUUUUGUGGAAGGUUUGCAGCCAAUGUAUGAGUUUCAAUCAAGAGAUAAAUUGUUAUCUGACAUACAUCGCAUCUAUAAUGAAGAGAGAGAGAAACUUCAGUUGUAUUUUGAUCAGCUUGCUUGCAAAUUAAAUUUGACAGUAAGUUUGUGGAAGAACAAUCAUGGAAAGACUGCAUUUUGUUGUUUGAUAGCACAUUUUAUUGAUGAUGGUUGGGAACUAAAGAUGAAGAUUCUUGGCUUGAGGAAAUUAGAGCAUGUAUAUGACACAAAGGUCGUUGGUGGAAUUAUUCGGAGCUUUGUUUCGGAGUGGAAUAUAAGUAAGAAAGUAUGUUCCAUAACUGUGGAUAACUCUUUUCUGAAUGAUGGUAUGGUUCAUCAGAUAAGAGAAAAUUGUGUUAGUGAGCAGGGCUCCCUUUCUUCAGCUCAUUGGUUCAUCAGUUUCACACUUCUUGAGGACGGGUUUCAUGAGAUGGAUAGCAUACUUUCAAAGUUAUGGAAAUCCAUUGAAUAUGUCACUGAAACAACGCAUGGAAAACUGAACUUUCAAGAAGCUGUAAAUCAAGUGAAGCUACAAGGUGCGAAAUCAUGGGACGAACUUUCUUUCAAGCUGGAAUCAGACUCUGACAUACUUGAUAGUGCCUUGAGAUCAAGAGAAAUAUUUUGUAAGCUGGAGCAAAUUGAUGACAAUUUUAUGCUAAACCUAUCAAAGGAGGAAUGGGACAAGGUAGUAACUCUACAAAGUUGUUUCAAAUGUUUUGAUGAUAUCAAAGGAACUCAAUCCUUUACUGCAAAUUUGUACUUCCCGAAGCUCUGCAACAUGUAUGAGGAAUUUGGUCAACUAAAAAAGAGCAAUCAUCCGUUUGUUAUAUUGAUGAAGAGGAAAUUUGACAACUAUUGGAGCUUAUGUAAUGUGGCUUUCACUAUUGCAGCUGCUCUUGAUCCAAGGUUAAAGUUUAGAUUCACAUGUAAUGAGACCUAUGAUCUUGAAAGUAUGAUGAAGCUGAAAAGAUUUCGUAAAGUUCUCAUGGAUGUUUACUUUGACUAUGCUAAUGAAGCCAAAAAUCUGAGUGCAUCAUCUUCGGUCUUGGAUGAUUCCAAUUCUUUAACAGCAGAGACCACAAAAGAUUGUAUUGUGAGCUAUUUCAGUAAAUUUGUAUCUGCAAGCAAUGUUAAAGAGGUGGCUUCACAGAAGUCAGAGCUUGACUGUUACUUAGAAGAGACUUUGCUUCCCUCGGAUGCAGACAUACUUGGUUGGUGGCGUAUUAAUUCUCAAAGGUUCCCUACACUUGCAAAGAUGGCUCGUGAUUUCCUCGCAAUCCCAGUAUCAGUUUCCUCACCAUGUUCGAAUGUUAGUGCUAUGACCAUAAAUCCAGCCUACAGUAGCUUAGACCCUGAGAGCAUGGAAGCUCUGGUAUGCAGUCAAAAUUGGUUGGAAUCUACAAAAGAAA
rnacentral:lncRNA from 1 species